rnacentral:lncRNA from 1 species
UGAGGGGGUGUGUUAGAGAUACUAUAGAGAGAUACUCGGGAUACUAAUCCCUUCUGUUAUGGCAACAUAGUUAAUACGUUAACCUAGAGACCUCCUCUCUAUUCAUGUAUAUAUAGGCAAUUGCGUUGUACUGUUAAGAUAUGCAAAUACAUAUUCUCUACAUAACCUUUGUCUUCCGAUGGUAAUGCUAUAUCUCCAACGAAAGAGCCCACUGACAAAAAUUCACCGGCGAUCCCAAAACCUCCACCACGGUCACUCCUCCUCUGGCGACUCCAUCACCACCAGAACCUUUUUCCUCACCACCUCCACCAUCGGAGCUCCUCCUCCUACUCUUUUAUCACCUGAUAAGCUGCAACCAGAAAUAUCUCCUCCCCCUACUCCCACAUCACCUGCCUAGCCGUUUAUCCUACCACCACCAUGACCUUGAGAUCUUUCCCCCCUCCCCAUCCACAACAUGAUCAACCUUCCAUUUCACCACCAUCACUUCCACCAUCAGAAAUAUCUCCUCCACCACCAUCAUCAAAAAGUUGAGAUAAAAAAGAAGAGGCUUCGGGUUAGAAAAGAUGCUAUGUAAUUAGGGUUUCAGAAUGUAAGUUUAGAAGGUUUCAACUCUUGUUGGGAAUUAAAUUAUUUCAGAUAAGCAAUGAACUCAGGUUUGAUUAGUUCACUAAAUCCUUAAAACAAUUCUUGGUGUGAAUAAACAUUUAACUCAUCUAAGUUCAGUUCCAGAAAUAGAUACUAUCGUGUGUCAUAAUUAUCCUAAGAUCUGGAUUCAGAGUGAUUAAUCGAGAAACU